UGUAAAAACAAUAAUUAAGUGCAUUAAAAAUAUAAAAAUAAGUGCAGCAUACUAGACUACAUGAUUCCAAACCACAAAUCUUUGGGUUCUGAAAGCGCCAUGAGCACCGUAACUCCCUGUUUAAACUCUGGCAAUGAACUCACUGCCAGAAAGCAUAUGUCACACGAUGAGUCAGAUCAUCAGCCCACAGAACGCAGAACUGGCAUUUCAGAGGUGUGUGUAUGUUCAGCAACAUACCAACAUAUUUCGACAAUCGUUGAAUGUCAAGCAUCAUUCAUGUGGGAUAUUAACAUGUUAAUGUUUUCAUUAAAAAAGAAAGAUCUCUGGCCUCAUUACAUUGCAUGGUUUAUAGAACGGAGAUCUGUCAAAUAAAUUAUUGCAAAGUAGUUUAAGCUAAACUUUAUAACACUGAAAUUACAUAAUUGAGGGCAAAUAACCUUUAAAAAUGAAAGACGAAUGGCAAAAUUUUAAGGGCAUUUAAUUUGCAUAAAUGUGAUGUUUAAUGUUAACAGUUUUUCCUGGUUACAUAUUUCAUAUCUGCCAUAUUAGGUUCUUAACACUCGUAUAGGUCAGUUUUCUAUG
rnacentral:lncRNA from 1 species